rnacentral:rRNA from 1 species
UACAGAGGUCUCAAGCGUUGUUCGGAUUCAUUGGGCGUAAAGGGCUCGUAGGCGGUUUGUCGCGUCGGGAGUGAAAACUCAGGGCUUAACCCUGAGCCUGCUUCCGAUACGGGCAGACUAGAGGUAUGCAGGGGAGAACGGAAUUCCUGGUGUAGCGGUGAAAUGCGCAGAUAUCAGGAGGAACACCGGUGGCGAAGGCGGUUCUCUGGGCAUUACCUGACGCUGAGGAGCGAAAGUGUGGGGAGCGAACAGG